UACGUAGGGGGCAAGCGUUGUCCGGAUUUAUUGGGCGUAAAGAGCGUGUAGGCGGCUUUACAGGUCCGUUGUGAAAACUCGAGGCUCAACCUCGAGACGCCGGUGGAAACCGUAAAGCUAGAGUCCGGAAGAGGAGAGUGGAAUUCCUGGUGUAGCGGUGGAAUGCGCAGAUAUCAGGAGGAACACCCGUGGCGAAAGCGGCUCUCUGGGACGGUACUGACGCUGAGACGCGAAAGCGUGGGGAGCAAACAGG
rnacentral:rRNA from 1 species